rnacentral:rRNA from 1 species
CCAGACUCCUACGGGAGGCAGCAGUGGGGAAUAUUGGGCAAUGGGCGCAAGCCUGACCCAGCAACGCCGCGUGAAGGAAGAAGGCUUUCGGGUUGUAAACUUCUUUUCUCAGGGACGAAGCAAGUGACGGUACCUGAGGAAUAAGCCACGGCUAACUACGUGCCAGCAGCCGCGGUAAUACGUAGGUGGCAAGCGUUAUCCGGAUUUACUGGGUGUAAAGGGAGCGUAGACGGCAUAGCAAGUCUGAAGUGAAAGGCCGUGACUCAACCGCGGAACUGCUUUGGAAACUGUUAAGCUGGAGUACUGGAGAGGCAAGCGGAAUUCCUAGUGUAGCGGUGAAAUGCGUAGAUAUUAGGAGGAACACCAGUGGCGAAGGCGGCUUGCUGGACAGAGACUGACGUUGAGGCUCGAAAGCGUGGGGAGCAAACAGGAUUAGAUACCCGCGUAAA